CCAUCACUGCCACCUUCCCUGCAUACAGAUCCACUGGAGAGGCUGAAAUACAGAACAGCAACAAAAUAAAGCUGAUCCCACAGAAAAAGUUAGGCUGGGAAAGUGGAAAAGAUAGUUUAGUGGGAAAUUCUGAAAUAUGGAACAGCAAGAAAAUAAAUCCCUGAUCCCAAGUUAGGCUGGGAAAGACCUCUGAGAUCAUCAAGUCCAACCUAAAAUCCCAAGAGAACCCAAGAACUCCACUGGAGAUCAGCAGGCACAGUGGCCCAGAGUGAUCUUGUCCCAGUUUUAUUCCUCACCAGGAAUGUGGCAAAUUGAUUAAAAUCCAUGCAAAUGGGGAAAACAGCACCUGGCUGCUGUGCUGGUGACACGGGGACAGGCACAGGGCUGUGACCUGCCAUAAAAAGGAGCCCAGCAUCACAACAGAAGGACAAUAUUUCAUGGAAUCACUAUAAAAGAAAUUUCCACUUCCAUGAGGUCUCUGUCCAUAUAAACAUUUCACUCAGCACCCAUUUUAAAAAAUAAAAUAGGUUGUUCUUUUGGAAAAUCCAUUUUUUCUCUAGCACAGUCUCUUGCAAUGUCAUUUACAGCCCAGUAAAUUUAGCUCUUAACGUUGUCAUCAUUGCUAUAAAUGAGUGAAGAAUAAUUUAAAUUUUUGUAGCCAUUUUUAGACACGAGGCCAAGCACAAAGAACAGGCAACAGAGAAUCCAGACCUGAAACAUAAAGAGUCUUAAAAAGGAAAUUGGAAGAACACUUGAAGUUAAAUUGGGUGUUUGUAACAAUUCUGAUCAAGAAAAUCUAAUUCUGAUGGAUAAUUCUUGACUAGGUUCAAGGUGCCAUUUUAAUUAUCAGUUACAGAUUUAAAAACUCCACCAAAUAAAUUACUUUAGAAAUUGCCUUAGCCCAAACCAAAACAAGUUAGAAACACAAAGUAUCUUGGACUUUCAUUACUUCUAAAAUGAAUCUUAAAAUGACAGCAAUCAAAGGGAUUUUCGGUUUAUUAUUUAAAAAUUGACAGCUGACAAGCUUCUGUUCAAGGGCUUCCUUUUCACUAAUUUUUUCUCAAACAGGUAAUGUUCCUCCUUUUCUAAUAUUUGCAUUCUUUUUAAUAAAAUCAUUGGAAAUGAGAGGAUGUGAAAGAUUCAUCGAUUAUUGGAUGUAAAUAAUUCUGGGAUCAUGAAAAAGGAACACUUUUCUCCUAGGAAUACUGAAACAUGAAAUAUCUCCUCAAAAAUUAUCACCAGAUCAAGCUAUUACAGCAGAAAUUAUGGAUCUGCUCAAACAUCAUCAAAUUCAGUGAUGCUAAUGAAGGAAUUCAAGCAGAGUAAUUAAUUUUACCAUUAAUUUUCCACUUUGAAGGUGGACACUGCUUCACCUGUAACCAGUGCUCAUUAAUUCUACCUACAGCAAUUACCUUCACAAAAAUUGCCUUUUUUUGGUCAUUUUUGAGGGGUUGCAGGUGUCCCUGAAUUUAAGUCAUUCAAAUUUAAAGUGCAUUUGCUGAAAGAAUUCAGAAAUGAAUAGUUUGGUAUUAAUGGCACAAACAAAAUUCCUGCAGUAAAUAGUUCCAGAGAAACUACAGAAAAUAGGAAUAUAUUCAGAAAAUAUAUAAAAUAUCAGAGAAAUAGACCUUUUUUUUUCUUGGUUAGGGAUAGAUAUUUAAAAUAUUGUAUUUUGUAGGUAAAACUGUUCAUUUUUUCCCCGUGUUCAUGUCCAGGUGAUACCAGCCUCCCAAAAAUGAGCUGUUCCAGGAGGAAGAGGAGGCUGAGCCAAGGCAUGCAGUGGGACCUGCUGCCUGUGAAUUUGCUGCUCCUGAGUUUGGGAAUGGUGGAUUCUCCCAGGAUCAGCCUGCUGAGCAACUUCUCCUUGCUUCUACUCCUUAACUCAGAGUCCUGCAAGCAAACAGUGGAAAGGUGGGAGAGUUCAGAGCUGGAACUUGCACAGUGAGUAACUCCUGCAAGGAAAUCAUUGCUGGCCUCUGCUGUCAUGGGCUAUUUUGGGACCUGUGGUCUCUGCAGCAGAAUUUCAAACCUUUGUUGCCUCGUGCAUCAUUAGCUGAUCUGCGUGCUUGUGUUUAAAGGCAGCAAAAAAAAAA